AUUGAACGCUGGCGGCAUGCCUUACACAUGCAAGUCGAACGGCAGCGCGGGGCAACCUGGCGGCGAGUGGCGAACGGGUGAGUAAUAUAUCGGAACAUACCCUAGAGUGGGGGAUAACGUAGCGAAAGUUACGCUAAUACCGCAUACGCACUAAGGUGGAAAGUGGGGGAUUCGCAAGAACCUCAUGCUCAUGGAGUGGCCGAUAUCUGAUUAGCUAGUUGGUGAGGUAAAGGCUCACCAAGGCAACGAUCAGUAGCUGGUUUGAGAGAACGACCAGCCACACUGGAACUGAGACACGGUCCAGACUCCUACGGGAGGCAGCAGUGGGGAAUUUUGGACAAUGGGGGCAACCCUGAUCCAGCAAUGCCGCGUGAGUGAAGAAGG
rnacentral:rRNA from 1 species